GCGGUAAUACGUAGGGUGCAAGCGUCAAUCGGAAUUACUGGGCGUAAAGGGUCUGUAGGCGGAUUAUUAAGUCGGAUGUGAAAUCCCCGGGCUCAACCUGGGAACGGCAUUCGAUACUGGUAGUCUAGAGUGUGCAAGAGGAUGGGGGAAUUCCUGGUGUAGCAGUGAAAUGCGUAGAGAUCAGGAGGAACAUCAAUGGCGAAGGCACCUUUCUGGGGCAACACUGACGCUGAGAGACGAAAGCGUGGGGAGCAAACAGGAUUAGAUACCCUGGUAGUCCACGCCCUAAACGAUGUCAACUAACUGUUCGGAGUCACUAAGAUUCUGAGUAGUGAAGCUAACGCGAUAAGUUGACCGCCUGGGGAGUACGGCCGCAAGGUUGAAACUCAAAGAAAUUGACGGGGGCCCGCACAAGCGGUGGAGUAUGUGGUUUAAUUCGAUGCAACGCGAAGAACCUUACCCGGUCUUGACAUGGUAGGAAUCUUGUAGAGAUACGAGAGUGCCUUCGGGAACCCACACACAGGUGCUGCACGGCUGUCGUCAGCUCGUGUCGUGAGAUGUUGGGUUAAGUCCCGCAACGAGCGCA
rnacentral:rRNA from 1 species